rnacentral:rRNA from 1 species
UACAGAGGCCCCAAGCGUUAUCCGGAAUCACUGGGCGUAAAGGGUGCGUAGGCGGUCGUGUUAGUCCUUCGUGAAAGAUCUUCGGCUUAACCGAGGAGACGCGGAGGAAACGGCACGACUCGAGGUUGCAAGAGGUAUACGGAACUCAUAGUGUAGGGGUGAAAUCCGUUGAUAUUAUGGGGAACACCAAAUGCGAAGGCAGUAUACUGGUGCACACCUGACGCUGAGGCACGAAAGCGUGGGAAUCGAACGGG